rnacentral:rRNA from 1 species
UCCGUAGGUGAACCUGCGGAAGGAUCAUUACAUUCAGUAGCUUGCUACUGUUAGGGGGGUCUAUCAGCCUGUAUAGUAUCACUACUGAUGAGCAGCACGACCCUCUGUCUGUACCCUUGUCUUUUGCGCACUCAUGUUUCCUCGGCGGGGUCUAUACCCGCCGGCUGGACAACUCCUAUAACCUUUUUAAUUUUCAAUCAGCGUCUGAAAAACCUAAUAAUUACAACUUUCAACAACGGAUCUCUUGGUUCUGGCAUCGAUGAAGAACGCAGCGAAAUGCGAUAAGUAGUGUGAAUUGCAGAAUUCAGUGAAUCAUCGAAUCUUUGAACGCACAUUGCGCCCCUUGGUAUUCCAUGGGGCAUGCCUGUUCGAGCGUCAUUUGUACCCUCAAGCUCUGCUUGGUGUUGGGUGUUUGUCCACUCCCCCGCGUUUGGACUCGCCUUAAAGCAAUUGGCAGCCAGUGUUUUGGUAUUGAAGCGCAGCACAUUUUGCGGUUCUAGCCUAGAAAUACUGGCAUCCAGUAAGCCUUUUUCCACUUUUGACCUCGGAUCAGGUAGGGAUACCCGCUGAACUUAAGCAUAUCAAUAAGCGGAGGA